rnacentral:tRNA from 1 species
CAGAAUAGCUUAACACACUAAAGCAUUGAUUUUGUAAUUCAACGAUAUAUUUUUUUCUGAAA